rnacentral:tRNA from 6 species
CCGCCACUAGCUCAUCCGGAUAGAACAGUUGCCUUCUAAGCUGUUGGUGCGAGGUUCGAAUCCCCGGUGGUGGACCA